rnacentral:sRNA from 1 species
CCCGAAAUGACGUCCUUCGGGAUUUUCCCGGA